GACGAACGCUGGCGGCGUGCUUAACACAUGCAAGUCGAACGGAAAGGCCCUGCUUUUGUGGGGUGCUCGAGUGGCGAACGGGUGAGUAACACGUGAGUAACCUGCCCUUGACUUUGGGAUAACUUCAGGAAACUGGGGCUAAUACCGGAUAGGAGCUCCUGCUGCAUGGUGGGGGUUGGAAAGUUUCGGCGGUUGGGGAUGGACUCGCGGCUUAUCAGCUUGUUGGUGGGGUAGUGGCUUACCAAGGCUUUGACGGGUAGCCGGCCUGAGAGGGUGACCGGCCACAUUGGGACUGAGGUACGGCCCAGACUCCUACGGGAGGCAGAAGUGGGGAAUAUGGCGCAAUGGGCGGAAGCCUGAUGCAGCAACGCCGCGUGCGGGAUGACGGCCUUCGGGUUGUAAACCGCUUUCGCCUGUGACGAAGCGUGAGUGACGGUAAUGGGUAAAGAAGCACCGGCUAACUACGUG
rnacentral:rRNA from 1 species